CCCCUUGCCAUAGAGUUGAGCCCUAUGGGGGUACAGAGUGGCGCCGUUGCUUGGAGGACUCCAUUUUGGCUCCCCAUCCCUUCCAGGACCUGCUUGGAGGACUCACUGUUGAGUUCCCCAUACCUGGAGGUCCUCCACAACCAUAGAGUUGAGCCCCAUGGGGGUACAGAGUGGCGCCGUUGCUUGGAGGACUCCAUUUUGGCUCCCUAUCCCUGCCAGGACCUGCUUGGAGGACUCACUGUUGAGUUCCCCAUACCUGGAGGUCCUCCACAACCAUAGAGUUGCAUCCCAUGGGGGUACAGAGUGGCGUCUUAGCUUGGAGGACUCCAUUUUGGCUCCCCAUCCCUGCCAGGACCUGCUUGGAGGACUCACUUGUAGGGGUGUCUACUUGUGGAGGUCCUCCAGAGCCAUAGAGUUGAGCCCCAUGGGGGUACAGAGUGGCGCCAUUGCUUGGAGGACUCCAUUUUGGCUCUCUGUCCCUGCCAGGACCUGCUUGGAGGACUCAAUUUUAGGGUUCCCCAUACCUGGAGGUCCUCCACAACCAUAGAGUUGAGCCCCAUGGGGGUACAGAGUGGCCUCUUAGCUUGGAUGUCUCCAUUUUGGGCUCUCUAUCCUUGGAGGUCCUCCACAACCAUAAAGUUGCGCCCCAUGGGGGUACAGAGCGGCACAGGGGUUGCUUGGAGGACUCCAUUUUGGGCUCCCCGUGCCCUGAAGUCCUCCACAACCAUAGAGUUGCACCCUAUGGAGGUACAGAGAGUUCAGCUUCCACUUGGAGGACUCCAUUUUGGGCUCUCUAUCCCUGGAGGUCCUCCACAACCAUAGAGUUGCUCCCUAUGGAGGUACAGAGAGUUCAGCUUCCACUUGGAGGACUCCAUUUUGGGCUCUCUAUCCCUGGAGGUCCUCCACAACCAUAGAGUUGCAUCCCAUGGGGGUACAGAGUGACCAGUCUCCUCUUGGAGGACUGCAUUUUGGGCUCUCUAUCCUUGGAGGUCCUCCACAACCAUAGAGUUGCAUCCCAUGGGGGUACAGAGUACCCAAUCUCCUCUUGGAGGACUCCAUUUUGGGCUCCCCGUGCCCGGAAGUCCUCCACAACCAUAGAGUUGCACCCUAUGGAGGUACAGAGAGGCCGCCAUCUCC